rnacentral:lncRNA from 1 species
AUUGUUUUCACACUGAGGUGAAAGGGCAGAGUUAUCAGACAGGCAAAGUUACCAUUUUGGCGGAAUUAUCAAAUUAUGUGUAUGGUUAGCAUGGUAAGAUCAUAUGUUUUCAUGUCAUAAUAUGAAUUUGUAUCAUGCAUGCUUUUUUCAAUGGAAAUUGUGACGUCAUAAUGCAUUCUGAAUAACACUAAAACCCAUGAGAUGAGGAUACAUCUUUAAACAUCAAUUAAUUCAACAAAAUGUACAGAAUGCGACCUUGUUAGUUCCCC